UACAGAGGUCCCGAGCGUUGUUCGGAUUCACUGGGCGUAAAGGGUGCGUAGGCGGUCGGAUAAGUUUGAUGUGAAAUCUCCGGGCUUAACCCGGAAACUGCAUUGAAUACUAUUCGGCUUGAGGUCUGGAGGGGGGACUGGAAUUCUCGGUGUAGCAGUGAAAUGCGUAGAUAUCGAGAGGAACACCAGUGGCGAAGGCGAGUCCCUGGACAGGUCCUGACGCUGAGGAGCGAAAGCGUGGGGAGCGAACAGG
rnacentral:rRNA from 1 species